AUAAACCACUUGCAAGAAGCAGAACCACAGUAGUCACUCUCUCUGAUUUUCCCUUCUUUCUUUUUUCACAGCCUGCACCCUAAUUAGUUAAGAAAUAUCUUAAGAACCCUUACCCUUGAGAUGGCUUGAGUUACAGUACAAGUAUCUCAUAGUCUCUCAUAGUUACCAACCUUCAUGUUGGUAAGUGAUUCACUUCUGCUUUAUCUCCUUUCCCAGCUAUUCUCAAGAUACUCACCCCAAGUUCAGCCAAGGACUCAGGAAUGGAACAAACAUGAUCACACCAAAGAUGCUGAAGCUUACAACAGCAGCAAUUUGUAACACGACUUAAGAGCCCUGUAAAGAUAACAGGAUGAGAUGCACAACAAAGCACUGGAAAUUCACUAAUACAGGGAACCAUCUGUAACAACAGCUGGACAGAACCCAACUAUGAGAAAUUGGAGCUGGAGACUUAAUACUAAACACCAGCAAGUUAAGGAGGACCAGUUAGUACACUCUGCCUUACUUGCGCAAGCUAAGUAAUAGAACAUUUGUAGUCCCUUGUUUUUUUUGGCUCAUUGACCUCUAAAUUCAAAAGAGAUUAAAAAGAUUUCAUAAUUUUGUAA